GACGAACGCUGGCGGCGUGCUUAACACAUGCAAGUCGAACGGAAAGGCCCUGCUUUUGUGGGGUGCUCGAGUGGCGAACGGGUGAGUAACACGUGAGUAACCUGCCCUUGCCUUUGGGAUAACUUCAGGAAACUGGGGCUAAUACCGGAUAGGAGCUCCUGCUGCAUGGUGGGGGUUGGAAAGUUUCGGCGGUUGGGGAUGGACUCGCGGCGUAUCAGCUUGUUGGUGGGGUAGUGGCUUACCAAGGCUUUGACGGGUAGCCGGCCUGAGAGGGUGACCGGCCACAUUGGGACUGAGAUACGGCCCAGACUCCUACGGGAGGCAGCAGUGGGGAAUAUUGCACAAUGGGCGGAAGCCUGAUGCAGCAACGCCGCGUGCGGGAUGACGGCCUUCGGGUUGUAAACCGCUUUCGCCUGUGACGAAGCGUGAGUGACGGUAAUGGGUAAAGAAGCAACGGCUAACUACGUG
rnacentral:rRNA from 1 species